CUCGUCCGCCCCGGGUGCGGGGGCGAGCUGCUGCACCCACUCCCCUCCUCCAACUCCCCCACCCCUCCUCCAAUGGAGAGAGGCGUCGUGCCUAUUGACAGGACGGGACAUGGGGGUGGAGGCGAGGGAGAGAGCGGGUGUUGCUGAAGAAGCUGGGGAGGCAAGACGAGGGCGGCGUGGCGUUCCGUGGCCGCGGUGGCCGGAGGGGCGGCUCCACGUCGCGGUGUAUGAGGUGCCUAGAGGAGGAUGCCGCGGCAGGUUAAACUCCUCUCCCGUUGUAGAGCAGUCCACAGUGUCGUCACCGUCGUCCUUGCCUUCGAGCCAUCCAUGACGCCGUCGCCGUCGCCUAGAGGACGCCGGUAGGAAGCAGCAGCUCGCCGUUUCCUUGGUCCCAGCCGACGCCAAGCGAGAAGAGAAGGCACGUGUGCUGUAGGUGUAGCAAAUUGGACAAGCUACACCGCUAAUGCCGGGUGUAUGGAGCUCAGGAAGGCUAUCUGCAACAAGCUUCAGGAGGAUAAUGGUCUAACCUAUAGCCCAGAUCAUGUGCUAGCGACCAAUGGGGCUAAGCAAUGCACUACACACGCU